NNNNNNNUCCUCCCUCUCUCCCUCUGAUUCUCUGAGUGUCUCUCUCUUUCUCUUCCUCCCUCUUUCCCUCUGUUUCUCGGUGUCUGUCUCUAUUUUUCUCUGUCCCUGUCUGUCUGUAUCUUUCUCCCUACCUUUCUCCCUCCCUCUCUGUUUCUCUGUCUGCCUCCGUUUUUCUCAGUCUCUUUUUCUCUGUCAGUCUCUCUGUUGUCUCUCCCUCCCUUUCUCUCUCUCUCCCUCUCUCUCUGUCUCUUUUUCUCUGUCUCCCUCCCUCUCUCUGUUUCUUGGAAAAUGUGUCUGUCUCUUUUUUUCUGCCUCUCUCUGUCUCUCUUCCUCCCUCUUUCCCUCCGUUUCUCUGUGUCUGUCUGUCUGUCUCUCUCCCCCCCCUUCCUGUUUCUCUGUCUGUCUGUGUCUCUUUCUGUCUCUUUGUGUCUGUCUCUGUGCCUGUCUCUAUCUUUCUGUCUCUCUCCCUCCCUCUCUGUUUCUGUGUCUGUCUCUCACUCUGUCUCUUUUUCUCAGUCUGUCUCUCUCCCUCCCUUUCUCCCCCCCCCUUUCUGUGUCUGUCUCUGUCUCUUUUUCUCUGUCUCUCUCUCUCCCCUUCUCCCUCCCUCCCUCUUUGUUUUUCUGUGUCUGUGUCUGUGUCUGUCUCUCUCUCUGUCUCUUUUUCUCUGUCUGUCUCUCUCUCCGCCCCCUUCUCCUUCCCUCUCUCAGUUUCUCUGUAUCUGUCUCUGUCUCUCUCUCCUUCCCUCUCUGUUUCUCUGUGUCUAUUUCUGUGUCUCUCUGUCUCUCUCUGUCUUUCUCUCCCCCUCCCUCCCUUCCUCUGUUUCUCUGCCUCUCUCUGUCUCUCUUCCUCCCUCUUUCCCUCUGUUUCUCUGUAUUUGUCUCUAUGUCUGUGUCUGUCUCUCUCCCUCCCUCUCUGUUUCUCUAUAUCUGUCUCUGUCUCUCUUUCUGUCUGUCUGUCUCUCUCCCUCCCUUUUACGCCCUCUGUUUCUGUCAGUCUCUCUCUGUCUUUUUCUCNNNNNNNNNNNNNNNNNNCCUCCCUUUCUCCCUCCCUCUGUUUCUCUGUGUCUGUCUCUCUCUCAUUCUGUUUCUUUUUCUCUGUCUCCCUCCCUCUCUCUCUGUUUCUCUGUGUUUGUCUGUCUCUCUCUUUUUCUGUCUCUCUCUCUGUCUCUUUUUCUGUCUCUUUCUCCCCCUCCCUCCUUCACUUCUUCUGUUUCUCUGUGUGUCUCUGUCUCUCUUCCUCCCCCUUUCCCUGUUUCUCUGUGUCUGUCUGACUCUGUCUCUCUCUCCCUCCCUCCCUCUCUGUUUCUCUGUGUCUAUCUUUUUCUCUCUGUGUGUCUCUCUCUCCUUCCCUUUCUCCCCUCCCUGUUUCUGUCUCUGUCUCUGUCUUUCUGUGUCUCUCCCUCCCUUUCUCUGUCUGUCUCUGUCUGUCUGUCUGUCUGUCUCUAUUUCUCUGUGUCUGUGUCUCUCUUUUUCUGUGUCUCUCUCUCCCCCUCCCUCCCUCUGUUUCUCCUUCUCUCUCUGUUUCUGUCUCUGUCUCUCUCUCUCUAUCUCUGUUUCUCUGUGUCUGUGUCUCUCUUUUUUCUGUGUCUCUUUGUCUCUCUCUCCCCCUCCCUCCCUGUCUUCCUCUGUUUCUCUGUGUGUGUCUGUCUCUUUUUCUCUGUCUGUUUAUCUGUCUUUCCCUCCCUUUCUCCCCCUCUAUUUCUGUCUGUCUCUCUGUCUCUCCCUCCCUUUCCCCCCCCUGUUUCUGUCUCUUUCUCUGUCUCUCUGUCUUUGCUUGUCUCUUUGUCUCUCUCUCCUCCCUCCAUCCCUCUCUUCCUCUCUGUUUUUCUGUCUUUCUCUUUCUUCCUCCCUCUUUCCCUCUGUUUCUCUGUGUCUGUCUCUUUUUCUCUGUCUGUCUCCCUCCCUUUCUCUCUCUCUGUUUCUCUGUGUCUGUCUGUCUCUCUCUGCCCCUCCCUCCUUCUCUUCCUCUGCUUCUCUGUGUGUUUUUCUCUCUUCCUCCCUCUUUCCCUGUUCAUUGUGUCUGUCUGUCUCUCUCUCCCCCUCCCUCCCUCUCUCUCUGUUUCUCAGGGCAUCUCUCUGUCUCACACACAGAGUCUGCUGAAGGGCCCCUGGUACAUCCGAGGUCCUGAGCUGCAGAGCUAGAAGGCCCUGGCAGUGCCCCUCUAGUCCAAGCCUGGGUUCUCAUGGAGAAAGCUCUGAAGCCCAGUGAGGCCUCAGUGCAGUGCUCAGGGACACCCUGGGGUCCUGGCCCUGCCCCAUCUAAGGACU
ensembl:lncRNA